rnacentral:rRNA from 1 species
UACGUAGGUGGCAAGCGUUGUCCGGAUUUACUGGGCGUAAAGAGCGCGCAGGCGGUCGGAUAAGUCGAAUGUGAAAGCCCCCGGCUCAACUGGGGAGGGUCAUUCGAUACUGUUCGACUCGAAGGCAGGAGAGGGAAGUGGAAUUCCCGGUGUAGUGGUGAAAUGCGUAGAUAUGCGGAGGAACACCGAUGGCGAAGGCAAUCCCCUGGGCCUGCACUGACGCUCAUGCACGAAAGCGUGGGGAGCAAACAGG